CCCCACCAAGGCUCUGCACACACACACACACACACUGCACUCACACACACACUGCAUUCAUACACACACACUGCAUCACACACACACACUGCAUUCAUACACACACUGCACUUAUACACAAACACUGCAUUCAUACACACACACUGCAUCACACACACACACUGCAUUCAUACACACACUGCACUAAACACACACACUGCACUAAACACACACACUGCAUUCAUACACACACACUGCAUUCAUACACACACUGCACUCAUACACACACACUGCACUCAUACACACACACUGCAUUCAUACACACACACCACUCAUACACACACUGCAUUCAUACACACACUGCAUUCAUACACACACACUGCAUUCAUCAUAUACACACUGUAAAUAAAUAUUCAAUUAAUAUAAUUUUUUUUAGGAUCUAAUUUUAUUUAGAAAUUUACCAGUAGCUGCUGCAUUUCCCACCCUAGUCUUAUACUCGAGUCAAUACGUUUUCCCAGUUUUUUGGGGUAAAAUUA